GAACCAUGAUGUUGUAAGUCGCUUUGGAUAAAAGCGUCUGCUAAACGACCUGUA
rfam:Gasterosteus aculeatus cont1.000350, whole genome shotgun sequence.